GUUGGAUUCCUGAGACAGCCAGGAUGUUGGCUUAGAAGCAGCCACCAUUUCAAAAGUGCGUAAUAGCUUACUGGUCGAGGAGUCCUGCGCCGAUAAUGAACGGGACUAAGCGUGAUACCGAAGCGGCGGGCUUGCAGCAAUGCAAGCGGUAGGAGAGCGUUGUGCCAUAGAUCGAAGGGGUACGGUGACGAGCCCUGGACGAAGCACAAGUGAUCAUGCCGGAACGAGUAACGAUAAAACGGGUGAGAAUCCCGUUCGCCGAAAGCCUAAGGUUUCCUGGGGAAGGUAAAUCCGCCCAGGGUUAGUCGGACCCUAAGGCGAGGCCGAAAGGCGUAGUCGAUGGAAGGCAGGUUAAUAUUCCUGCACCACUUGCAGCGGUUGAACGCAUCAGGACGCUGGCUGGAAAGGGAUCGACCCGCUAGUCGCGGUCGUCUCCGCAAGGAGCGAGGGCAUAUACGAUUCCGAAGUCCCUGGAAGGACAGACAAGAAAAGCCAACGCGGUACAACAUCAACGACCGUACUAAAACUGACACAGGUAGGCGAGAUGAAUAUUCUCAGGCGCUCGAGAGAACGCUCGUGAAGGAACUCGGCAACAUAACCCCGUAACUUCGGGAGAAGGGGUGCCUCUUGGGGGUGUCAAAAGCCUCGGGGGGCCGCAGUGAAAGGGAUCUGGCGACUGUUUACUAAAAACACAGGUCUGUGCGAACGCGUAAGCGGAAGUAUACAGACUGACGCCUGCCCGGUGCCGGUAAGUUAAGGAAGAGGGUUAGCCCCUUAAAAGGUGAAGCUCGCAACCGAAGCUCCGGUAAACGGCGGCCGUAACUAUGACGGUCCUAAGGUAGCGAAGUUCCUUGUCGGGUAAGUUCCGACCUGCAUGAAUGGCGUAACGACCGGAUCACUGUCUCCACGAGCGACUCGGUGAAACUGUAGUUGUUGUGAAGAUGCAACAUACCCGCAACUAGACGGAAAGACCCCGUGAACCUUUACUGCAGCUUAGUAUUGGGUUUAGGCCCAGCAUGCGUAGCGUAGGUGGGAGGCUUUGAUCCGGACGUCCCGGCGCCCGGUGAGCCGACAAUUGAAACACCACCCUUGUUGUGCUUGAAUUCUAACCCCGUCCCGUGAAUCCGGGCGGCGGACAGUGCUAAGUGGGCAGUUUGACUGGGGCGGUCUCCUCCCAAAUGGUAACGGAGGAGCCCAAAGGUGUCCUCAGCCCGGUCGGCAAUCGGGCAUUGAGCGUAAAGGUAGAAGGACGCUUGACUGCGAGUCCCAUCAGACGAGCAGGUGCGAAAGCAGGG
rnacentral:rRNA from 1 species